UGCUGCUGUGGGUUCAGCCUUGAUACCAGUAGCUAGCCUACAUGCAUAAAGGUCUCAGCCUGGCUUCCACCAACCUAGUUACUCCUUGCAGGAUGACCUCAACAGCCCUUCCCAUCCUGUCUCCUCAAAUUCAACUACACCAAGUUCUUAACUACGACACUCAGACUUUUUCUCUCUGGUUCGUCACCCCAGAAGGAGUGAAACCUGCAGCCAGGAAUCAGUGUGUUGAAGUGAAUUGCAUGCGAUAUUUGGCAGGAGCCCAACUAGCACCCCAAAUCUGACUGUGUACAAUUUGUGAGAUCUGGGCAUGUUAACCUCUGCAAUGCACAGCAAGGCUGAGUGGGGAGAAGCAGAUGGGACAAAAACCAUAUGACGAGCUGGGAGCUCUUCAAAACUCUACUGGAGUCGAGCCAAUCCCUGCAGGCAAGCACAGAUUGGCCCAAUGAAGAAGGGGAAAGACGCUCAGAAUGUACAAAUGUCUGCAUCUCAGAACAUAGAAG